AUUGAACGCUGGCGGCAGGCCUAACACAUGCAAGUCGAGCGGAUGAAGGGAGCUUGCUCCUGGCUUCAGCGGCGGACGGGUGAGUAAUUCCUAGGAAUCUGCCUUGUAGUGGGGGAUAACGUCCCGAAACGGGCGCUAAUACCGCAUCCGUCCUGAGGGAGAAAGUGGGGGAUCUUCGGACCUCACGCUUUCAGAUGAGCCUAGGUCGGAUUAGCUAGUUGGUGGGGUAACGGCCUACCAAGGCGACGAUCCGUAACUGGUCUGAGAGGAUGAUCAGUCACACUGGAACUGAGACACGGUCCAGACUCCUACGGGAGGCAGCAGUGGGGAAUAUUGGACAAUGGGCGAAAGACUGAACCAGCCAUGCCGCGUGUGUGAAGAAGGUCUUCGGAUUGUAAAGCACUUUAAGUGGGGAAGAAGGGAAGUAAGUUAAUACAUUGAUGUUUUGACGUUACCAACAGAGUAAGCACCGGCUAACUUCGUG
rnacentral:rRNA from 1 species